UAAGAAUGUCUCCCUGCCUCAUGUACUCUACUUCCUGUAGCACUGUACUACUGUAAAGUAUUGAACAAUACUGUAGUACUGUACAUAACAAUGUAAAAUUUGACUUUUCGUUUUUGGUUUAUAAUUUAAAAAAAAUUUAAUAUUCAACACAGAUAUCGGUUACGUGGAGCCGGAGGAGGAGGAGCCCCAAUGUAGUAAGUACAGUAGGAAUUUCUCUAGCCCAUUCUUAAAAGUAUUGACCAAGUCACUUUACUACUCUCUCAGGCAGGGAAAUUCUAAACAUGUACAAUAUUGUCCUUACAGUGAAGAACCCUUUUCGCCUCUGUGUGCAAAAUAUCCUCUCCUCCAACCGAGCGGAUGUACACGUGUCCUCUGUGUCGAUCUUAUAAAAAACAGAUCCUCCGCAAGCUCUGUGUAUUGUCCCCUUACUGUAUAUAUUUGUAAAGGUUAAUCAUGUCCCCUCUUAAUCUUCUCUUUUCCAAUGUAAACAUGCCCAGCAAGCCUUUCCUCGUAUUCCAGCAUCUCCAUCUCCUUGAUCAGUUUGGUCGCCCGCCUCUGAACCUUUUCUAGUUCCACGAUAUCCAUUUUGUAGUAUGGUGCCCAAAAUUGUGCAUCCUAACCACCCUCCACUAGCCUAACCCUCAAAUCAUACUCUGAUUCCGGCCUCGGCAUUCUGAAUGCCGGGAUCCCGACAGCCGGUAUUUUAAAUACAGGUACAGUAUAGUACUGUAUGUCCCCUACCACUGGACAGUCAUUUUGGUCCUACUAUAUUAUGAAUGUUUGUCUGCCUCCUGUAGCACUGUACUACUGUAAACUACUGUGCAAUUUUAUAGUAAAUGUUCUCUACUGUAUUUUAUUUAUAAGCUUUUUUUAUUUUCCACUCAGUAAUUAUCAUUGACAGCAAUGAGGAGGAGGAGGACGAGAAGCCUUCUUCCCAACUUGGCCCUACACUGUCACAUGCCAUGGAAGAGGAGGAUCAGCAGCCUCUGUCCCCCACCACACCACUCACAGCAAAUCACCGGGCAUGAAUCCAAUUGAAUUAGUGUGGGCUCAAUUGAAGAGAUACAUUAGGAGUGUUGCGAAGCCAACAACAAAACAGCUGUUGGAUGGGAUCCAAAAAUUUUAGCUAGAAGUACUCACACCUGAACAUUGUAAUAAUUAUAAAACUCACCUGUAUAAAGUAUUACUAGUUAUAGUUGAAAGAAAUGGUCAAGCCACAAAUAUGUAGUUCUGUACUACAUUUUCUGUAUAAAAUUUUAAUCGAUGCAUUAUUAAAAAUGUUUAUAAAAUUGCCUUUGUCUGAAUAGUGCGUAAGCUAAUGUACAAUAUUCUACAUUAUACUAUACAGUAGUACUGUUAUUGAUGUGUAUGAACAGUUUACAGUUUUAUACAGUAAGUCCUGAAUAAAAGAGUACUGUACAUUUUUGAUCAGUACAGUAUAUGAAAUCUGAUUUUGUAAUAAAGACUUUUUUUACAUUUA